rnacentral:lncRNA from 1 species
GUAGAUGGUCUGUGCCCAACACAACCCCACCCCCCAACUGCACCCUGCCAGGCUUGGCAGGAGGCCUGGCACUGGGGCUGGCAUCAACUGGGCCCAGAAGGAGGUCAUGGAGGCCUCGCUUACGCUUGUUUCCCAUAAUUCUGGCUGCUUCCAGUCCCUUUCCUCUCCAGACACUGACGCAGAGCCUACCAACACGCUGAGGCCCCCUUUCUCAGCUUCCUGCUCGGCCACCGUAUCUUCUCAUUUCCUGUUUACCCAUCUCCCCUUUGGAAUUGCCUUGAGUUCCACGGGUGUGACAUCAACAGGCCUGGAAUGCCAUCCCCAGUCGCCACGCGAUCACCAAGACCACCACUGUCGUGCUUCUCCAUCCUUGCCCCCCCACCCCUUGUCACAGCUGUCUCCUCCCUGGGGUUCCAGGAGGCCCGGGCUGCUUCCUUCCCUUGAAAAUCCAUGUUGUCACAAUUGGGACUGUCGCUCUUUUUGAUGCUCAAAAUAACCUCGAAGACCAGUUGCAGCCAAACAGUCCCCCUGGGCACAGAUGGGGAGACUGAGCCAGGCCUGCUCCUGACCUCCUGACCUCGGGACAGCUGGGCCUGGGGACAGUGGCCCGGGACAGGGCACUGGAGGGUGCAAAGGCGUUCUGGUUGUACUCCUGGUUACACUGGUGUCUCUCAUCGGAAUCGUGGACCCAGGCCUGGGGAGGAGGUCUGGCAGAGCCCUCAAGGCCACUGCGGCAGCAAGGCCCAAAGGCUUCUCUGCUUUUCUGGGCCCCAACUUGGCCAUCGUCUGCCUGGGGUCCCUCCGCCCUUCUCUAGGCGGUCCCUUGGGCCUCUGUGCCCAGCCCCUUUCUCCUGGCCUGUGGUCAGCAUCUCAUGGGGACCUGUGGCAUGUUGACCCCCCAGUGUGAACCCUGGGAGAGGAGGGUGGCGACCACCACUUUCUCCUGCAUGUGCUGCUGUGUGUUGCAGCCGGACAGGGCUGGUGGCCGCCAUGCAGGCCAGAAGCACCAGUCCUACCUACUCUGUGCCCUCUGCCUGCAGCUGGCAACUGCCUGGGAAGUCCUGGAGGGAGGACAGGGCUAGCACACCGGCAGUACAUCUUGCCCCGGGGGCCAUGCACGGCUGCUCACGAGGCUAGAGCGUGGGGCAGCACACGCCCCAGAAGACACCAGCACCUGGGGGUGGUUGUGAAGAGUCGUGGCUGCAAAAAUGAGUCUGUUUGCAGGCAUCAUGGCGUAUGGUGGUGGGUCUGUCUACCACCAACUGGGAGCCCCUCCCCUCCUGAGGGCUUGGUGCGGUUCUGGCCUGUGGCAGAGGAACCCCCGACGACCUGCAGCCAGAAAGAGGGGUGGGAAGGAGAUGAUGAAGGGGAGUGAACUGAGACCCUGAGUCCUUGCCCUCACCCAAGUAUGACCAGUCGCCAGAGACCCAGGAAACCAGAUGACGGAUGUGUGCUCUGAGGGCUCUGGUCGCCGCCUUCUCACCUGGGCAUGACAGCCAGUGCACCUGUGCCACCAACCCACUCUGCCCUCCCCGGCUGGUGCCCGGGCCCCAAGGCCAGCAUGCACCAGGCAGGGUGCCACCAGCAGGGCAGGUACCAGGGCCACGGAGGGCCUUGGCCUGCGCAGCUGGGCAGUGGGCACCAGAGCCCUCGCUGCGUCCUGUUGAUUCUGGGAGGGUUUUCCGAUCUCUCUGGCCUGAUGCUCGCAUGGCCAGCCGGGGAGCUGGGAUGCAGUGGAGAGGUGGAGCCAGCCUUUGCAACCCCAAGCCCCGGCCCUCGCUGGCAGAGAGGUGGCCGUGGGGGAGGGGCAGGAGCUUCCCUCCGCUGUCUGGCGGGCCGCCUCCAGAUCUAGGUCAUCGUGCUUCAGCCUCACUCUCUGCCUUCCGCAAGCUGUGUUCCGUGGGAUUUUUUAAAUACCUGAAUGCCUCUGGGAGAAACUCAGUGUUGGUGCCAUUUCGUAUCUGCACCUUCGGCUUUUCGUGACAUUACAGAGCUACAGCGAGGACAGAGAGUCUCAGAGAUGCCAGGACACCUUGAGGAGGUCGCCUCCAGCCCCCUGGUGACCACGUGGACGCCCACAAGUCUGUGCUGGAGGGGAGGGAGACACAGCACAGGCUACACGCAGCCUCUGGAGAAUUUCUUCACUAAAGGAGGUUUUUUCCUGAAAAACGUCAAGCUAUUUGUAGCCCAAGUCAGUUGAGCAGAUUUUUCUGGGUGUAGCUUAUUUUAUCACUCAUUAACUUCUUUUCUUUAUGAAUUAAAAAGUAGCAUUUUUUUUCCCACCCAGGAGCAUUUUAUUUACUUCUCUCGGUGCCACAACCAGCACUUUCUCUGCCUGCUGGGGAGGGAGACUCAGAUCCCACUCGAAGACGCCAUGGCCCCUAGGAUGUAGGCAUAGGUGGUGCGUCCAGAGCAGGCCCUACCACUCCACCCGUUCCUGACCUUGCACGUCCCUGUCACCCCUGCAG